rnacentral:rRNA from 1 species
GACGAACGCUGGCGGCGUGCCUAAUACAUGCAAGUAGAACGCUGAAGGAGGAGCUUGCUCUUCUGGAUGAGUUGCGAACGGGUGAGUAACGCGUAGGUAACCUGCCUGGUAGCGGGGGAUAACUAUUGGAAACGAUAGCUAAUACCGCAUAAGAGUAGAUGUUGCAUGACAUUUACUUAAAAGGUGCAAUUGCAUCACUACCAGAUGGACCUGCGUUGUAUUAGCUAGUUGGUGGGGUAACGGCUUACCAAGGCGACGAUACAUAGCCGACCUGAGAGGGUGGUCGGCCACACUGGGAAUGAGACACGGCCCAGACUCCUACGGGAGGCAGCAGUAGGGAAUCUUCGGCAAUGGACGGAAGUCUGACCGAGCCACGCCGCGUGAGUGAAGAAGGUUUUCGGAUCGUAAAGCUCUGUUGUAAGAGAAGAAAGAGUGUGAGAGUGGAAAGUUCACACUGUGACGGUAUCUUACCAGAAAGGGACGGCUAACUACGUG